AUCGAAAGAAGGUUUUUGUUUCGGCUUUAGCUUCAUCAUCAAACAUCAUUAAUAGAUCAAUCAUCAAUCAGACCAAGAAGACGAUAAGGAGCUGUGCCACUACUACCACAUCAUCAAAUGGGCGAGGGGGAUUCGUAGUAAAAUACGAGGAUAUGGAAUCAGAAGAAAGUAUGAUGGGUUUAUACGAAAGGUGGAUGGAACAUUACCAGAUUUACAGAAACGGCGAGGAGAAGAAUAGACGCUUUCAAGUGUUCAAGGACUGUGUGAAACGAUUCCGCUCAGCCAACUGUUUUGCAGACAUGUCCGAUAAAGAGUUCAGUAAAAGACUAAUUAAAAAUUGGGAUUUUGGAAAGUCAAGAGCUAGGUUCUUAACUCCCAAAAAUGAGUGACCUUGCUGCAGUGAUGUUGUAUGGGCAUGCUCUAUCUCUGCGGUCUAGAAAAAUUAUUUUUAAUAAUCUUGCUGAUAAUCAUAAAGACCUUCACGUAGAGGAAGAAUAAUGCGAGCAUUUCUGCAUCUUGUGGUUUGUCAUCAAGAACUAUAAACUUUACUUUCAAAUAAUGAGGUAAUUGAAGAAGCUAUGUUCUACCAGUGUAUCUCUGAAACUCAGCAUUAUUUGGGAGAUAACCAAAAUUAUUAGCUUUACAUGUUU